rnacentral:lncRNA from 1 species
AACUACAAGUCCAGAGAGAGAGACAGUGAGAGAGAGAGAGAAAAGAGAAUUAACUUUAUCAAAUCCAGACCAACGAGAGAUGAGAAAAAAACGAAUUUCCAAAAGAUUAAGUCAGUAAAAUUAGUGGGGAAAUGAAAGGAAUAUGGUUUUGAUAUUUGGAAAGAAUAUCAGUCAUUACCAAAGGAGUGUACUAAUGGAUUGGUUGCACAUAGAGUAUGUUGGAAGGGUUUUAGUCCCUCCCCAUCGUUCUCAUACACUUUGUAGUACAUUAUAAUGCUACUUUCCAGAUUUCAAAUCCACGGUUCUAAUUUCCAUAAAUAGUUUUCAAAGGGAGGAGAUAAGCUGGAUGCAAAUAGCCAGGGUAGAUUGGAUGAAUGCAAGAAGCUCCAACACUGCUUAUUUCCACAUUAUUACAUUUGACUGUAGGAAGAAAAAUAUCAUUUGCAAUCUGGAACACAGGGAUGGAGAAGAUUCAGGGAUAAUUGAGCUCUAUAGCAAUCUUGUUGAGAAGGAUCCUCCUCAAAGGUAUACUUCCGAUAACCUUUUUAUUAACAUCAACACCAUCAAGACGAUGGCUUAAUCGAUCUAGUUGUCUUUAUAAUCGUAGCAAAUUAUUUGCAUGGUUUUAGAACAAACAACACCAAACUUCAGAGCUGAUGAUUCAUUUGAUUAUUUAAGGAUUCCACUUUCUUUAGUUAAGAAGAAAUAUAAUUUACAUGGUUUUAAUGGCGCUUAUAAAACAGUUGAUUACUUCAGAAUAGAAAGCAAGACAGCAAGAUGGUGAGCGUGUCAAAAUUGAUUUCGAAGAAGACUGCAUUUCCAUAUCGAUUGAGAUUGGAGAACUUCUAUAUUUAACUGUUGCUUGGGCUUCCAAAACCUUUUACGGAUUAUUAAUGGAAAACAAGGAGACCCAAUGUCUGGACAAUGCAUUCAAAAAAUAAUAAUUAUAAAAGAAAGGUCUGACUAAAAAAAUCUACCGUAAAAGCAGAUGCAGCGUAAAGACUACGUGAGAGAAAUGACAAUACCA